rnacentral:miRNA from 1 species
GGUGCAGUGCUGCAUCUCUGGUU